CUCACUUAGCCACUAAAUUGGGUCAAUAAUGAUCUUAAAGAAAAAUCCUCCAGAGGUGCAUGUACCAAAGCAAAAGCAGAAAAGUGUAAUUUGUACGGAGUACUAGAAAUCUCACUGACAUUAGUGGGAUAAGAGUCCAAAUCAGAGCUAACUUACAAACAUAGCACUUUCAGAUGUGCAAUUCCCAAGCUCUGUAGAAGCUAAACAUUGUAGCAAAACAUGUACACUGCAACUACAACAACUUCUUCUUUUUUUACCCUCAGAAUGGCGCAUCCAUACACCGCACCUCAAAAGUUGGCACUAAAAUGUGUUCAGACAUGCCUCAUCCAUAAAGCUGGCUCAUUUGUCCGCCAAGGCUUUAAAAUUGCAAUAGCAGCACAGCACACAUCAACAGUCCUUGCCCUCACAGAUGAUACUAGGACCAUUUAUCACAAGAAGAAUGGCUCUUAUCUUGAAUUUGAGUAGGGGGCAUCGUACAUUUAAAAAAACUGCACUUUGUCCGACAGACAUGGGAUGAUUUAUCUUCAUGUUGGAAGAUCCACUUUAAAGUUUAGAUCAGGUCCACUAAACCUUUCUGAGGAGGCAGAGAGAAUGGAUCCAUCCACCAUCCUCUUCUGCCACUGGUGAGGAGGAGGAGCUGUUUCCAACGAAAGGCUGAAAAAUUGCAGAAAGUAAGGAUGACCAUGUCUGACAUCCCAGUCUUGGACCUCAAGCUGAAGUGAGCCGAAAGGCUUCUUGACGUGUCCCUGUGGAGGGAUGAAGCACUUUCUGAACUCCAUGAGGGACACAAUGUGCACAUCAGUCACAUGCGUGCCACCAUUCUGGGAAGUGGCAAUGGAAAAUUACAGUCGUCAAACUAUACUACCAUUAAGGAAGUUGAUGAUGUGGGAGUGACAGAAAUUGACAACAACUGUCUUACCUCAGAUGAUGAGAUCUUUGUUGUGCCUUCUCAACAUUAUAGUAGCAACAUUGAUGACCUAAUCAUAGAGUUGCCAAUGAAAAUGAUUAUAAAGCAUGUUAAUAAACGAGUAGUUAGUGUACAAACAGUCAUCAAUUCAGAGAAUCAGUUUUGUUGUAGUCAUAGUUUUGUAGUUUAUUUGGUAGUAAUAUAUAUAAUCUUUUGUAAAAUAGUUAUAAUUAUUUGACACUAUUAGUUAUUUGUGCUUAUGGUAAUGCACAUUUAUG